rnacentral:rRNA from 1 species
AGCAGCCGCGGUAAUUCCAGCUCCAAUAGCGUAUAUUAAAGUUGUUGCAGUUAAAAAGCUCGUAGUUGAAUUUCGGGACCAAUAUGUCGGUCGUGCCUCGGUACGUACUGGUGUCAUUGGUCUCUCUCUUCUGAGGAUCCUUGAUGUCAUUAAUUUGGUGUCUUGGGAAAUCAGGACUGUUACCUUGAAAAAUUAGAGUGUUUAAAGCAGGCAUACGCUUGAAUACAUUAGCAUGGAAUAAUGAAAUAGGACGUUCGAUUCUAUUUUGUUGGUUUCUAGGAUCGACGUAAUGAUUAAUAGGGAUAGUUGGGGGCAUUAGUAUUCAAUUGUCAGAGGUGAAAUUCUUGGAUUUAUUGAAGACUAACUACUGCGAAAGCAUUUGCCAAGGAUGUUUUCAUUAAUCAAGAGCGAAAGUUAGGGGAUCGAAGACGGCCAGAUACCGUCGUAGUCUUAACCAUAAAACUAUG